rnacentral:rRNA from 1 species
AUGUCAUGGCAUAAUCUUUUGUCCCGGUUGGAUUCGAUUAACCUGACACAAGGUCGGGAUGUGUUUCGCUGGAACCUUACUACAUCAGGGUCUUUUACAGUAGACUCUAUGUACCGUGCGCUCACAUAUUCUGAGGUACCAAUGAGUAAUAACAAGAAAAUUUGGAAGUCCAAGAUUCCACUAAAAGUGAAAAUUUUCAUGUGGUAUCUUCGUAAGGGAGUUGUGUUGACCAAAGACAACCUCGCACGACGCAACUGGCCAGGGAGUAAGAAGUGUUGUUUUUGUACUCAUGACGAGACAAUCAAACACCUCUUUUUCCAAUGCAAGUUUGCACGUUCUACGUGGUCAAUCAUCCAAAUAGCAUCAAAUUUAUAUCUGCCCACAAGUGUUGCCAAUAUAUUUGGUCACUGGUUGGACGGUAUUCCAAAUAGGUUUAAAGCGCUUAUAAGGGUGGGAGUGUACGCCUUAAUUUGGUCGCUCUGGCUAUGUAGAAACAAUUUGGUUUUUAAUGGAAAAAAUGCUUCUCCUCUGCAGGUUAUUUUCCGUUGUACGCACUCGCUUCAUACGUGGUCUAUGCUACAACGAUCGGAGCACCAAUCGCUGUUCAAGGCGGUGUGUACGCGGUUGGAGCAGGUGGCUACGGAGGUUUUUUCCCAACAUGGGUGGCAGCAUAACCUCCGGAUCGAUCCACCACCACCUUCGACACAGGCAUAG